rnacentral:rRNA from 1 species
AUUGAACGCUGGCGGAAUGCUUUACACAUGCAAGUCGAACGGCAGCACGGACUUCGGUCUGGUGGCGAGUGGCGAACGGGUGAGUAAUGUAUCGGAACGUGCCCAGUCGUGGGGGAUAACGUAGUGAAAAUUACGCUAAUACCGCAUACGAUCUAUGGAUGAAAGCGGGGGAUCGCAAGACCUCGCGCGAUUGGAGUGGCCGAUAUCAGGUUAGGUAGUUGGUGGGGUAAAGGCCCACCAAGACAACGAUCUGUAGCUGGUCUGAGAGGACGACCAGCCACACUGGAACUGAGACACGGUCCAGACUCCUACGGGAGGCAGCAGUGGGGAAUUUUGGACAAUGGGCGAAAGCCUGAUCCAGCCAUUCCGCGUGCAGGAUGAAGGCCCUCGGGUUGUAAACUGCUUUUGUACAGAACGAAAAGGUUUCUACUAAUACUAGGAGCUCAUGACGGUACUGUAAGAAUAAGCACCGGCUAACUACGUGCCAGCAGCCGCGGUAA